rnacentral:rRNA from 1 species
AAGCAGAGGGGGCUUAGUGGUGGGGUGACUGCGUACCUUUUGUAUAAUGGGUCAGCGACUUAUAUUCUGUAGCAAGGUUAACCGAAUAGGGGAGCCGGAGGGAAACCGAGUCUUAAUUGGGCGUUAAGUUGCAGGGUAUAGACCCGAAACCCGGUGAUCUAGCCAUGGGCAGGUUGAAGGUUGGGUAACACUAACUGGAGGACCGAACCGACUAAUGUUGAAAAAUUAGCGGAUGACCUGUGGCUGGGGGUGAAAGGCCAAUCAAACCGGGAGAUAGCUGGUUCUCCCCGAAAGCUAUUUAGGUAGCGCCUCGUGAAUUCAUCUCCGGGGGUAGAGCACUGUUUCGGCUAGGGGGCCAUCCCGGCUUACCAACCCGAUGCAAACUGCGAAUACCGGAGAAUGUUAUCACGGGAGACACACGGCGGGUGCUAACGUCCGUCGUGAAGAGGGAAACAACCCAGACCGCCAGCUAAGGUCCCAAAGUCAUGGUUAAGUGGGAAACGAUGUGGGAAGGCCCAGACAGCCAGGAUGUUGGCUUAGAAGCAGCCAUCAUUUAAAGAAAGCGUAAUAGCUCACUGGUCGAGUCGGCCUGCGCGGAAGAUGUAACGGGGCUAAACCAUGCACCGAAGCUGCGGCAGCGAACGUAUCACUUAAAGCGAUUCAGCGGGUUACGAUUGACGGAGCGAAGCGACGUCAAAGCGUAUACAAAGUCGAGUCGGUUUAAGGAUACGUUCGUUGGGUAGGGGAGCGUUCUGUAAGCCUGCGAAGGUGGCCUGUGAGGGUUGCUGGAGGUAUCAGAAGUGCGAAUGCUGACAUAAGUAACGAUAAAGCGGGUGAAAAGCCCGCUCGCCGGAAGACCAAGGGUUCCUGUCCAACGUUAAUCGGGGCAGGGUGAGUCGACCCCUAAGGCGAGGCCGAAAGGCGUAGUCGAUGGGAAACGGGUUAAUAUUCCCGUACUUGGUGUUACUGCGAAGGGGGGACGGAGAAGGCUAUGUUGGCCGGGCGACGGUUGUCCCGGUUUAAGCGUGUAGGUGUGUGUUCCAGGUAAAUCCGGUUCACUUUAACACUGAGGCGUGAUGACGAGGCACUACGGUGCUGAAGCAACAAAUGCCCUGCUUCCAGGAAAAGCCUCUAAGCAUCAGGUAACAUCAAAUCGUACCCCAAACCGACACAGGUGGUCAGGUAGAGAAUACCAAGGCGCUUGAGAGAACUCGGGUGAAGGAACUAGGCAAAAUGGUGCCGUAACUUCGGGAGAAGGCACGCUGAUAUGUAGGUGAAGUGAUUUACUCAUGGAGCUGAAAUCAGUCGAAGAUACCAGCUGGCUGCAACUGUUUAUUAAAAACACAGCACUGUGCAAACACGAAAGUGGACGUAUACGGUGUGACGCCUGCCCGGUGCCGGAAGGUUAAUUGAUGGGGUCAGCGCAAGCGAAGCUCCUGAUCGAAGCCCCGGUAAACGGCGGCCGUAACUAUAACGGUCCUAAGGUAGCGAAAUUCCUUGUCGGGUAAGUUCCGACCUGCACGAAUGGCGUAAUGAUGGCCAGGCUGUCUCCACCCGAGACUCAGUGAAAUUGAACUCGCUGUGAAGAUGCAGUGUACCCGCGGCAAGACGGAAAGACCCCGUGAACCUUUACUAUAGCUUGACACUGAACAUUGAGCCUUGAUGUGUAGGAUAGGUGGGAGGCUUUGAAGUGUGGACGCCAGUCUGCAUGGAGCCGACCUUGAAAUACCACCCUUUAAUGUUUGAUGUUCUAACGUGGACCCGU